rnacentral:lncRNA from 1 species
CCAAUUCUUUUAGAUGACCCCUAGAAUUCUACUGUAUAGUAUGCUAGAGUUUACUUAACUAGACCUGUAUAAAUGAGCACAGAAUGCUACAACAAAUGUUCUUGUGGCAGCAUAUUUUUUAGGUGUCCAAGUACAUACACUCCUAAAAGUGGACUUCCUGGGUCAAAAGACACAAGCACUUAUAAUUUGGAAAGAUAUUGCCAGCCAAAGGCUGGUACCAGUUGGCCCUCUCACUGACGGUAGCUGAGAAUGUGGGUUUUUCCACACUCACACAGUUACAGUUUCAAGUUUGUUUUGUCUUCCUUUCUGAUUAUUAAUCACCAGGGAUUUGGCACCUUCAGAUGUUAGUUUCUCUUUCUGUGAAAUGUAAUAAACACUUGAGAAAAUAAAACCUAAAGGAACCCUAUAGCCCCUUACUUCUGCUACAUCACUUGGUUUGUGAAUAUUCUCAUUUUGCAUUUUAUCUUUCUGCAGGCAAGAAGCUUGGCUACAAACGUCUAACACUGUGGUAUAUUUGGGGGGAAGAAGAUAAUGCACAAGGAACUACCCAGAUCCUCCUACCACACCCUGUUGCUGUAGUAUGAUUUGGGUUCAAACUCAGUGACAACAGGCUGGACAUUCACCAACAGAUCCAAGGUCUUCAUCGGAUUCACCGGCUAAAACCAUCUAUCAACAAGCAUCUGUUGGCUCAUUUG